UACGUAGGGGGCAAGCGUUGUCCGGAAUCAUUGGGCGUAAAGAGCGCGUAGGCGGCCCUGUAAGUCCGCUGUGAAAGUCAAGGGCUCAACCCUUGGAUGCCGGUGGAUACUGCAGGGCUAGAGUCCGGAAGAGGCGAGUGGAAUUCCUGGUGUAGCGGUGAAAUGCGCAGAUAAUCAGGAGGAACACCGAUGGCGAAGGCAGCUCGCUGGGACGGUACUGAC
rnacentral:rRNA from 1 species